rnacentral:rRNA from 1 species
GAUGAACGCUAGCGGCAGGCCUAAUACAUGCAAGUCGAACGGGAUCUGAGGGUAGCUUGCUACCCGAUUUUAGAGUGGCGCACGGGUGCGUAACGCGUGAGCAACCUACACAUAUCAGGGUGAUAGCCCGAAGAAAUUCGGAUUAACACCGCAUAAUAAUACGCUAACACAUGUUGAUGUAUUUAACUAUUUAUAGGAUAUGGAUGGGCUCGCGUGACAUUAGCUAGUUGGUAAGGUAACGGAUUACCAAGGCGACGCUGUCUAGGGGCUCUGAGAGGAGAAACCCCCACACUGGUACUGGGACACGGACCAGACGCCUACGGGAGGCAGCAGUAAGGAAUAUUGGUCAAUGGGCGCAAGCCUGAACCAGCCAUGCCGCGUGCAGGAUGACUGCCCUAUGGGUUGUAAACUGCUUUUGUUAGGGAAUAAACCUUCUUACGUGUAAGGAGCUGAAUGUACCUAAAGAAUAAGGAUCGGCUAACUCCGUGCCAGCCGCCGCCGUAAAAC